rnacentral:rRNA from 1 species
GACGAACGCUGGCGGCGUGCCUAAUACAUGCAAGUCGAGCGGAUUGAUGGGAGCUUGCUCCCUGAUAUCAGCGGCGGACGGGUGAGUAACACGUGGGCAACCUGCCUAUAAGACUGGGAUAACUUCGGGAAACCGGAGCUAAUACCGGAUAAUCCCUUUCCUCUCAUGAGGAAAGGCUGAAAGAUGGUUUACGCUAUCACUUAUAGAUGGGCCCGCGGCGCAUUAGCUAGUUGGUGAGGUAACGGCUCACCAAGGCAACGAUGCGUAGCCGACCUGAGAGGGGGAUCGGCCACACUGGGACUGAGACACGGCCCAGACUCCUACGGGAGGCAGCAGUAGGGAAUCUUCCGCAAUGGACGAAAGUCUGACGGAGCAACGCCGCGUGAGUGAUGAAGGUUUUCGGAUCGUAAAACUCUGUUGUUGGGGAAGAACAAGUACGAGAGUAACUGCUCGUACCUUGACGGUACCUAACCAGAAAGCCACGGCUAACUACGUGCCAGCAGCCGCCGUAA